UACGAAGGGGGCUAGCGUUGUUCGGAUUUACUGGGCGUAAAGCGCACGUAGGCGGAUUGUUAAGUCGGGGGUGAAAUCCUGGAGCUCAACUUCAGAAUUGCCUUCGAUACUGGCUUUCUAGAGGCUGGAAGAGGUUAGUGGAAUUCCCAGUGUAGAGGUGAAAUUCGUAGAUAUUGGGAAGAACACCAGUGGCGAAGGCGGCUAACUGGUCCAGAUCUGACGCUGAGGUGCGAAAGCGUGGGGAGCGAACAGG
rnacentral:rRNA from 1 species